rnacentral:misc_RNA from 1 species
UGAAGAACGUAGCGAAAUGCGAUACGUAAUGUGAAUUGCAGAAUUCAGUGAAUCAUCGAGUCUUUGAACGCACAUUGCGCCCUCUGGUAUUCCGGAGGGCAUGCCUGUCCGAGCGUCAUUGCUGCCCUCAAGCACGGCUUGUGUGUUGGGCUCCGUCCCCCGAUCCCGGGGGACGGGCCCGAAAGGCAGCGGCGGCACCGCGCCCGGUCCUCGAGCGUAUGGGGCUUUGUCACCCGCUCUGUAGGCCCGGCCGGCGCUUGCCGAUCAACCAAAUUUUUAUCCAGGUUGACCUCGGAUCAGGUAGGGAUACCCGCUGAACUUAAGCAUAUCAAUAAGCGGAGGA